rnacentral:lncRNA from 1 species
AGCUCAGCCUAAGGUGACUGACGGGCAGCAUUUGGUGAGUCAACCAUCCCAACUCAGCUCCCGAUCGCUUGAUUACAGACAGGCAAACCACCAAGCGACAGGCCUCAGUCCAAUCCAGAUGCAUGUUUUUAACCUCAGCCUAAGGUGACUUCUGGUGUAUCCAUUUGAGUGGUAGGCACGAUUUGCUGACCCCUAUCACACCAUUAGUUCAUUAGGUUACGAAUGCGAAUGUGUAUAUUAAUUUAGGCAGCUCUUAGCUUAUAGGAAUUCUUCCUUCAAUAGAUUGGUUUUCAUUGUGUGAGGGUGGGUAUAUACCAGUAUUGAUAUCGGCCUUGAUUGCUAUGCUGUGCUGAUUGUCUUGAUUGUCCGAUUGUGAGCUAAUAUACGAGUGCUUCAUUUGCUAUAAAUAAAUCUCUUUAUCUGUGAACCAUGUAAUUUCAAAAAUCAUCAUCUUUUCUCUACAAUUUAAAUAUCCAAGUUACACUAUCCCCAUCAAUGGAAAUAUCCUAAUUAUCAGAUUGAUCGGAUGGCCGAAAACCGACGUAAGCAUAAAUGAAGUAUGAAGAGUUAUAACAACAUGGCUAGAGGAUCAAAGGGAGCUUACAGGUGAGCUACCACAUCCAGAGGCAGAGAACCAAAUAAUAAAUUCAAAACAGAGACAAUGUUUUCAAUCUUCAGGAAUAACAAAUUUGAAAAAAAAUAAAAUUGAAUAAAUUGAAUAAAGUGAAACAUAUAACUCUCACCUGGCCACUCCACAGAGAGGCCUGCUUCAGAAGCUUCCACAGUCCAAACGCUUGAUCAUGAGUCAGGACUAGGGGUCUGGUCCUCUUCAUGCAAAUACAAUGCAAACAGACGAGUAUCCGCUGGUUUCGCCGGCAUUAAUGAUUAAUAGCGUCGCAGUCGCUGCGCAACCGAGGAUUUUUAAUUUUAAUUAGUCUUUUACACGAUAAUACUGGUAAUGCGCAAAUGUUAUUGAUGGGCCUAGGCGAAAUCUCAAUGAAUCUAACUGAGAGUAAUUUAAUUUCGAAAAAAUAAAAUAAAAUAGGCACGUAAUUUGGUUGUCUCCUAAUAUGACCAUAAAGUCAAUAAUUUAUAAAAACUUCACAAAAUUAUUAUCUUCGAAAAUAAAUUAUAAGUAAGUGAAUAAAAUUUAUUUUUAAUCAAAUUCUUUACUCUUUUAAUUGAUUUCUUUUUUUAUUUGUAAAUUUUUUUAUAUUUAAAAAAAUGUGAUGGAAAAAAAAAAGAGAGAGCAAAACAAUAGAUAGGCUUAAUUAGAUAAAUUUAAAAUUUUAAUACAAUUUAAAAUAUAGAGAAUAAAAUUACAUAUACAGACGAAUAGAGAUUUUAUAAGAGAGAUAGAGGGGUACCAAUAGCGUAACUCAAUCCCAUUAUACUGUGUUUACUUUCUAAAGUGGGAGGAAUCCUUUCUGAAGUGAGAGCGAGGAGUGUGGAUUUCUCCCACUUCAGUGUUUACUUCAAUAAUUUAAGAAGGGAUUGUGAAUCUUACUCUGUGGGUCCCAUUCAUUUUUGGAGUGGAGAGUGGGAGUAGGACUCCCAUGGAGAGAGAUGGGAGUGGGAAUCCAUUCCCACCACUCUCUUUUAUACCAUUUUUAAUUAAUUUUAAAAUUUAAUAUUUAAUAAAAUAAAAUAAAUAAUAUUUAUUUAAAUAAUAUUAUUAUAUUUAACUAAAUAAUAAUUUACAUUAAUUAUAAGUUUAUAUUACUUAAAAAUAAUAUUAUUAUAUUAAUAGAGAAUUAAUAAUAUUAUCUUAUACUAUCUUUAUUUAAAAAUAUAAUAUUAUUAUAUUUAUUUUAAAAUAAUAGUAUUAUAUUUAUUUAAUAUUAAUAAUAAAUAAUUUAUUCUAAGAAAAUAUUAAUUUCGUACUAUGUUAAUAGUAAAAAUGUUUCAUUUAUAUUGCUCUUAUCAAUAAUUUUUAAUUUUUAUAAUUAAAAUUAAUAAAAAAUUGUGAUGUACAUAAUUAAGAAUAUUAAUAUUAUUAUAAAUUUAUAAAUAUAAUAAAAUAAAUGUUUAUUCAUUAAAUAUAUUUUUUAUUAACUUUGUAAUUAAAAACUAUAAUUCUUUAAAUAAGGGUAAAAUGAUAAUUUAAAACUAUUUACUUCCAAUUUAAGACAAAGUAAACAUAUAAAUUGAAUUCUAAUCUUCAUUCCAUACUUCCAUUUCAGUGUAAGUAAACAACCUACUCAGACUCUCACUCCACACUCCCAAUCUUAGAAUUCACACUCUUCAGGAUUCCCACUUCAAUGCAAAAAGUAAACGCUACCUUGCAGUGUAAUAUUUCAUGUUCAAUAGAGAGGGGCAUGGAAGCUCACUUCAAGAAGUCCAUAAUAAACUCACCUCAUUUUUUUCAUAUAUUGAAUAAAAUUCAAAUUAUACGUCUAACUAAUUAAUUUUACUAUAGAUUUUUUUUUUUUUUGGAAAAGAAAAAUUACUGAGGAUCUUAAUAGAGUUCCAUGUCUAUAAAAAUUUAAUUAAAAACUUAAUAAAAAAAUUUUUCCGCCUGUUUUUUUUUUUGUUGAUUUCGAAAUAACAAAGAAUCACUUGUAAUAAAUUUUAAGCAUAAUGGACAAUGGCAAACAUAAUAAUACAGUAGUUUCGCUUCACACUUCCACCAAACGCACCGUUUCAGUCAUCACUCAAAGUUAACGGUUCAUGUACGUGCGCGAACACAACCGUUAGGUCCGCCUUAUCUUAUCUAAAGGCUGCACUCUUAAGUCAAAAUAACGAUAUUCGUCUCUUACAUGUUCAAAAGGAUCCCUCUGUACCAUUUGAAAGCUUAAAUAUUCAAAUUAAAUUUUGCAUGCAAAUCUAUUAAAGCAUUAGUCAGAGUGAAGAGCUUCUCACUGACCUUCCAAACUCCAAUGGCGCCGCAAAUUGAUUCCGCGAGGAGAAGAAUGACCGCUGUUGCCAACCAUCUUGUUCCGGUCAUCAGUUCGGAUUCGAAUAGCGGUUUCAUCGGG